rnacentral:tRNA from 1 species
AAUAAAAUAAUUUUUGAAAAUAUAAAAAUUUCUAAUUUUUAAAUUUAUGGUUAAAAUCCAUUUUUAUUU